rnacentral:lncRNA from 1 species
GUAAGUUCACUUUUUUAAACGAAUAAAAUCCGAUUAGUAGGAUGAUGCAUUCGCUUUGGCCUAUGAAAAACUAAGCAGCCGAAAGUCUCCUAGUUCUAGGAUUCCUCUGUUCUCUCAAACAAGAGCCACAUCAGGAUAGCAGGGAGCCAGAGACCAUGUAGUACGGACUACGGACCUGGCAACCCAAAGCACCAAUCAGCUUAUUUACUAUCCACGCUGAUGAUUUGACAAGGGCGUAAGCCGGCCGUCGUCCCCAACCGCGGCAGGCGUGUUCGCCACCACCACUUGUCAUCCGGUAGUCGGCAACACAAAAAUCAAUGAGAGAGAGACGGAGGGGAAAAAACGGGGAAUAAUCAAACGCUUGGGCUUAAUUAGCCAGAACAUUGCUAGGGAUAAAAUGAUCCUAUGGGGAUUUUUUUUGAUUUCGGAAUCCCUUCCAUGGCAGGACAGCCUGCCCCCUCCUUCCGCGUUGCUGUUUGGCAGCACAUGGCAGGAUACCGCAGCCCAACUCCGUUCGGUAGUGCUUGCUGCAGCUCUGUCUGCGGCAGCGGCUACAGGAGCUAGCUAGCAGCAACUGUACCAGCUGCAGCAAGCCAACAUGAAGUCAACCAUCUUCAGCUGGACAGCAUCGUGCAGCACUUUGCAGCCGAGCGGCUUGCUGUUCAGCUGCAGCACAAGCCCCUGCAAAUAAGCAAAAGCUCCAGCCACACAUGCAGUCUAAACUAUAAGUUCUGUUCUCACGGUACCACAUAAACAAAACAGACGACAGUCUCAACUAGAUCAUGCAUGAUAAAACAUAAGGAUGACUCCUCUCCUAGCCUGAGAUCACGGUCUUGUAGCAUGCCUUGCCAACUCGAGGAUAAAACAGGAUAAAAGGAAACUCCAAAGCGACUGCAGCUUUCUACAUCUUUAACCAUGUAGCCUACAAGCAUGAUCAUUUCAGGGCAUUGCAAAUUUGCAGGGCAAGUUUAGCAGGUCCAUAAACAAAGAGGUGCAGAAAGAAAACAAAAGGACCACUGAUACAUGUUAGAAACAUAUAGUUAUGGUAUUAAAACAGGAUUUAGGUAAGCAGCAUCAUAUCAGUAGAACGUGAAAAAGGUAGCAUAAGAAACAUACUAGGCACUAAGUGGCUCGGACGAUGCAAUCGUUAGCCCAUUGUCUAAGCUGAUUGAAUCUGAAAAAGAGACUUCAAUUACCCUUGCCUGCUGACAGACUGGACCAACCCAUGAAUUGCACUGAAACAGAUACUUGAACAAGAGCACAUGCAAAUCAUAGUGCAGAGGUACAUGUCCACAAUGCUGAAAGUAAAAGAAGGUGGCUAUGAGCAUGUGACAAAAAUUGCCAAAGACCAGGAAACUAAAAGAACAGAUAAAAUUCAAUUAGCUGGGUUGAGCAUACUACCAGCUAUUAUAUACACAAUUAGCCGGGUUGAGCAUACUACCAGCUUUCAUAUAGUGGACAGGACAUGAGGGCAACAUUUAAAGACAUUGCAUUUAGAAAAGACAGUUAUGUGUCUUAGCCUCCAUUAACAAUCUAUAAGGUAAGGCAACCAACCAUGUGCUGAACUCAAGGCAACCAUGUGCUGAAGGAAGAAAUCAUACAAAGAAACUCAUAUGUAGAUGAGCUCAAGGAUAAAAUGAAUGCUGUUGAGAUUGAAACAGAAGACUGAAGGUCGAUCUAAAUGGUGAUUUCACGAUGUUAGGAUCAUUGCAGACUGAAGUCAGUGCCCUGGAGUAACAAACCUUGUCCCUUGCCAAUGACUGCUUGCAAUCAAAUAAACUCAGAAUAGAGGUACGCAUUCCCUCUUUCAUGUUUUAUUCAAGAUUUAAGGAUCACAUAUAGUUCCCGGUAUAAUAUCAUUUUGCUAUUCUCUAACAGGUUAAUUCUUUUCUACUAGUGACAUAGUGCAGUAAACUUAGCUAUUUUCUCCUUAACAUUCAGUUUAAGCAAGAGGUCAAAUAUACUUAGAAUAGUACACACUACACAGUGAUUGCAGGACAUAGCAGUUCUAGCUCCUAAAGAUAUCCAUGAGAAAAGAACCUAUCAUUUAAACCUUUGACUUCAGAGAUCAGAAUGCAAUGCCUUUGAAAUCAUUUAAACCUCCAUUUCCCAGUAGAAAAAAGAACAUAUCAUUCAAAUGGGACUAAAUCUUUAGGCUGCUAUACCGCUCCAACAAAGUGCAGUAAAAUACAGUUACUAACUGUAUCUGUAAGAAGAAGUUCAUAGGUGGGGAUAAUGGGAGGAGCAAAUAAGGCCAACACUGAAAUCUAGAUCCGUGAAAUCAAGAACCCCUAUGCAAAUCUAGAUCCAGGCAUGUGAAUCAAAACACUACCCAAGCACCCAAAGCAAAUCUAAAGGGUAGCCUAAAAAGCAAGUCACUCUGCUAGAUCAUGGACGAACUUAACAAGAACAAGCGCAUAUAGAAAUACUCCGACUCCCUUGUCGAAGGAAAAGCUGCAAGAAACACUAUCUGAGGCACCCCAAAGCAAAGCUAAAAAGAGGCCUACAACAAAAUAUUCCUGCUACAACAAGAUCUUGGGCGAGCUAGGCAAAAACAAUUGCCUACAAGAAGAGGAGAAGAUGAGGAUGGGUGACUCACCGGCAAGAAGACGGCCACCGAAGAGGAUAAGCGCUUGAGGAACCGCGUCGGCGGGCGUCACCGCCGACCUGCCGUGCCCCUUGCGGGUAUCCACCGCCGCCAUCGGGAGGGAUGGGGAGGCGAUGGGAAGGUGACGGGGAGGCGACGGAGAGGACGGGGAGGCGACGAGGAGCAGUGAUGGCGAGGCGUAGGGAGGGGGAGCCGCACGGGCGACGUCGCUCACGUCGCUCGGGGAGCCGCACGGGGAAGAGAUGGCCGAACCUUCGAGGUGGGGAGGGCCUGCCCAGGGAAAAAGCGAGGAAACGGGUCGCCCAACCUCUCGGUGUGGGCUUCCAAAUGGUGAGAAUUUUUGGUCCGUGCUGCAUUUUUACGGGAAGCACCGGGCUGGGGAAAAGAUCGGGAUCCUGGCGGGAUGUUAGGCUCCCAAACUAGCCCUUGGUGGAGGCGUGGACCACAAUCGGUCGCCACCAUCCUUUCUAGUUUCUCCCUUUCUCAUCUCAUAUCCGUCCUCAUCGCGCUAUCCGUUCCGUGCUCGCAUUCCUUAGUUCCGUUCGCUGACCCAACUCCGAAAUCCAAACCACUCCGCCAUUGCCACCCCAUAUGCCUCGGCUUCUCCUGCUGUUGCUCGCUUCCUUCCUCCUCCCGCCGGCGACGGCAGCCGGUGCGGUACAGCCGCCGUCAAGCUGUUGGCCCAAGGCAUGCGGGGGCCUGAACAUCACCUACCCGUUCUGGCUGGAAGAGCGCGACCAACCGCCGUGCGGGCCGCCGGCAUUCCAGCUCAAGUGCAACAGCAGCGGCGCGUUCAUGGUCAAAUCCCUCUACCAGGCGUAUCGGGUGGUCAGCAUCUUCGCCGAGAACCAAUCCUUACAUGUGGUGGACAUCAACCUCCCGCUCGACACCGGCUGCCCAGCGCCAACGUUCAACGUCUCGCUCGUCCCCCGGCCGCUCGCCUUCAGCAAAGCCAACAAAGAGCUGCUCUUCCUCGGCAAGUGCACGGCGGGGUCUCAACCGGAGGAUUCGAAUGGGUUUCACAGCCUACCUUGCGACAGGUCUUCCUUCGUCCGGCUCGGCGACGGGCAGCUGUGGUUUGCUAGGUUUCCAGGUCGUUUGCGAGAACCACACACCAUACCUCCGGUACAAGGGGUGGAGGUAUUCCUGGGAAUACCCAAGAUUUUUCAGAAAAAAAUAGUAUAUAUGUCCUAUAUACAUGUGUAUACUUAUUAAUUAGAAGGUGCUCAGCAAUUCUUAGUAUAAAACGAGCCCAAUACAUGCAGCUUGGGCCAACUAGGAUCAUCUAUGCUAACUGCUAUGCUAAGGUCUAGUUCAUUUUUCACCCAAUGCUGGCCGGCUACCAACUGCCAUAAGCACAGCACAACAGAUUCUUUCAAUAUGGAUGGCAUUGCAUCCCGCUCAAGCUCUCACCUCUCCCUCUCUUAUUUCUCCUAAAUCCAUUCUCCUUUCUCAAAUUCCUAAUCCCUGACUACUAUUUCCCAACUUCACGCAUCAUGAGACGGAGUUGUAGCGGAUGAGUGAUGAGGCUGAGCGCGCUCGCACGCAGUGGCCCCCAACAACAUCACGACGACGGAUCAAAUAUGGGUGCACCUCCGGCAAGCUGUGCAAGCGUAUUAGUGAGAAGUGAAACUAAGGUUCCACGCCCUUGUUCCAUGCUGACCCCUCUGAUCUUAGCCUACUAAUUAAUCAGCCCUGCAUAUUGAUCCGUACAUUGUAAGAUGGAUGUUCGAUUGCUAAAUCUAGUCAUGUUCUAGCGAUACAUGAUGAUUUGGUUGUGAUGAAGUUGGGAAAAAGUUUACCAAGCCCAUGUGGCCUGUGGGGAUCUACUUUAAGCGCAACUUCGAACAUAUUUGCCUAUGAGCGUGGCUUGAAUGGUACAACUUUUUUUAGCUGAGAACACCUAACUCUCAUAUUCUGACUCCACCACUGUCAGGUACUACCUCCAGAACUUUAUACAGCUCCAGAUCCUAGAGAUCAUCUACGGCAACGGCUCUUUGCUUCUCGCGGAUAUGCACAAGCUUGUGGACCUGACAAACUUAGCCACUUAGUCAGCCAAUACAAAUUCUCCCUACAGUUAACACCUCAUCGAAGAUCGCUCACCCGUUCUCGAUCAGCCCCACAAAUCAGCAACUCAUCCUCUACGACUGCACCAAGCUGUCGAAGCCGGCAACGGCAGCGGCUGAUGGGCUUGUGGAGAGGACAUGCGGGAACAGCACGCUUUUAUGCACAGACAAGCAUAUUCCAUGCCUAAAUUAGCGUAGCCGCUCACCUCUACCUCGCUCUUAUGCACAAUGAAAAGACCAGCUAAUGCAAUGCAAAGAUCAGUCCACAAGCCCUCUAGAUCCAACCUUUUUAUAUGGAUCGGCCACCCUACAUUUCCUUUUUUUAACUCCACACGUGUUUCAAGAUUAAAACUCAUAUCUUUUUAAUCGAUAAUUAGCCCAAUAAAUUGUAGAUUAUACCAAAUAAUUUUAUUAUCUUUACAUUUAUAUUCAAAAGCACUUCCAUACAUCUGAUCUCAAUUUCACGGUCAUAAAAAUAUAAGAUAAGAUAUUCUGAUAGUCAGGGUGUAGCCUUAAGGCCGGAUUGGGUCAAACUGCAGCCUGCGCCAAAUAUGCUGUUCGUGAUAUUCACUAUAUACCAAUGCAUCUCCUUUGUCAAUUGUCGCUAUGAAAGUCUGACUUUAAUAAAAAGAGAGUGCAGUUAUACACACAAGAAUGGCAUAUGGCAGACGUCAACCCAGAGGUGUAGCAUUUUAUUCAAAUUUCAUUUCCAACUUUUUGAACCGUCAAAUAUUAACUCAUUCUUUCCUUCUACCAAAAGAAUCGACCUUUUAAUGUAACAGUAGGAGAGGUCCCUACUGGAUUUUCUUGUAUUUAUAUAUGUGUAAAAAGGGGAUAAGCACAAGCUUACAAGGUCAUAGGCCCAAAGAGACCCUAAUAAGAAGUUGGUAAUGAAAAUUACGUAGCCAAGUUUCUAGUAAAGUUGCAAGGAGGGCUUAGCUUUAUACAAGGUGAGACUCACUUCCUUCUUGAAACAAAAUUUCCAUCUUGCUAGAGAUAGGACGCCUGCAUAAAAAAUGAUAGAAUUCCAAUGGCACCAUAUACUUCAACAAGCCACAAUCAGGAUUUCCCUAAAAAUCUUUUAAGCAAAGUCCCUCCUAAUAUUCUAUAUGCUAUUUCAGGUAGUAGAAAUGGAACUGGAAGGAAGAUAAUACUAAUAGGUAUGCUACAUUCAAUAUCAUUUCAUAUUAGUCAUCCAAAUUUCAGUAGUCAGGCAAGUUACAUUUAGUUUUACUCUGUGGAAGAUCAUAGAAGAAUUAUUAUGACAUUUAUCAUAUCUAUUCUCACAUAGAUUUGAAAAAUGAAAAUUCGGAACAUGUGAUCCACAAGUUGUGGCUUCUAAUAUAAAAUUGGGAAAUUUGGAGCAAGAUCUGUGGUCUUUGAUUAUAUGGCUUCUUCAUAUUUUCUUACUUUGCACUUCUUAUUUUAUUUUUUUAUACAAAAAGAGAAAAAUAUGAAUUGUUAACGGUCUUGGAAAUCUUAAUGAUAAUAAUAUAGCAGCUCACUAUUUCAAGAGAAAAGUAACAUCUGCUUUAAUUUCAGUUUUGAUGACAGUAGCUGCAAGCUUGCUCCUACCAUGUAUAUAUGUGCUUGUAUGGCAUAGAAAGAGAGGAAAGCUACAUUUUUUCCUAUGUGAAAAGACUAGCAGAAACACUGAAAGGAACAUUGAGGCCCUACUAGUAUUGCAUGGAUCCCUAGCUCCGAAAAGAUACAAGUACUCAGAAGUAACAAAGAUAACAUCUUCCUUUGAUAAUAAGCUUGGGGAAGGUGGUUAUGGUGCGGUUUUCAAAGGAAGGCUAGAUGAUGGUCGUCUAGUGGCUGUGAAAUUCUUGCACAACUCCAAAGGAGAAGGAGAGGAGUUUGUUAACGAGGUUAUGAGCAUUGGCAGGACCUCUCAUGUUAAUAUUGUUAACUUAUUUGGGUUUUGUUUGGAAGGCUCAAAGCGGGCCCUAAUAUAUGAGUUCAUGCCCAAUGGUUCUUUGGAUAAGUUCAUAUACUCAGAGAAUCCUAAAGCAGUUUUAGGAUGGGAUAAGCUCUAUACAAUAGCGAUUGGAAUUGCUCGAGGAUUGGAAUACUUGCAUCACAAUUGUAAUACACGCAUUAUCCAUUUUGAUAUCAAGCCUCAAAAUAUCCUUCUAGAUGAGGAUUUUCACCCAAAGGUUGCUGAUUUCGGUUUGGCCAAAUUGUGCCAUACCAAGGAGAGCAAGCUUUCUAUGACUGGUGCUAGAGGGACAGUUGGUUUUAUUGCUCCUGAAGUGCACUCUCGAACCUUUGGAGUUGUUUCAACAAAAUCAGAUGUUUAUAGUUAUGGAAUGAUGCUAUUAGAGAUGGUUGGAGGUAGAAAAAAUGUGAAAUCAGUUGCUCAGAAAUCAAGUGAAAAGUAUUUUCCACAUUGGAUUUAUGAUCAUUUUAGACAAGGUGAUGGAUUACAAGCAUGUGAGGUCUCAAGUGAAGAUGAAGGAAUAGCCAAAAAGAUGAGUGUGAUUGGCCUGUGGUGCAUCCAAAUACUACCAAUGCAUCGCCCUACAAUAGCAAAGGUUUUGGAAAUGUUUGAGCGAGGUUUAGAUGAUUUGGACAUGCCACCGAGACAAAACUUCAGCCAAAUUCUGUAAGAUGUUCACGAUACUUAUUUCUGCAACUGCUCACUACUAUUUACUAUAGCAUUGAUGUUUUAGAAACAAUUUUUUUCAUUCUUUUGCAGCGAAGAUCCAUCUUAAAAUUUGAAUGCAGAAAGCACGAGUACAAGAAGUGGUACCAAAACUCAAGUUUUUAGCGAAGUGCUAAAAAUGAAGGAGAUGAGCGUUGUGAAUUCAAAAAGCUUACAUCGGCUACCAACUCUGUGACAAGGUUACCUAGCAUUGGAAUUAUGCACUGAACUUAUGCAUCUAUAUGAGAGAGGGUAGAAAUCUUAAGUUACUCUGAUACUUGUCUCAAAAGAAACAUGCCUACUAUAAUAUUUUGCAUUCAAAGUCAUUAAGGUCCCAAGAAGGAAAGUUUUGCAACUAUGCAUACGAUAUUUUGACAUAAUCCUAACAUUUCUAUAUUUUUGUUAGUUAGACCUUCUCAUUGUUCUUUGUCGACGUACCAGCACACCUUAUAGUCAUCCAUCACCAAAAAUCUCCCAAACGCUAAUGAUACAUUUGUACCAGAAUCAGGUAACUGAAAAGGUAUCCAAGACAUUACACAUACUAGAAAAAAAUCAAGGCAUUACAGUUUUCAAGUCAUGGCCUUAUUAGUAGAGUCGAUCAGCAUAUAGUUGGAUCCUGGAUUAUUGCCAUGUUGAAAUACGAGGAUGAAGGCAUGAAGCUGAUCGUAGCCAUGAGUCACGACACACAUAUAACUGAGGCCUAAAGGGGCAUAAAUUUUGCUUGACUUAUUGAGUUAGGUUCCAAACACCGGUGCAUCAGCUAUGAAGUUUCUUAGUUUAAUCUUCAGGUUCCAAUCAAAAGUUAAGGUUGACAGUUGACACCCACAAGCCGUCCAAGUGAACCCAAAAAAGAAAACUACUCAAUCCAAAUACUCAUGGUCUCAAUGCAAAAUCAGAAUACGUUUUCGAACAAUAGAAGCACCAAUCAAAUUGAUCUACGCAUCUGAUAACUAAAAAUCACAUAUGUGGGUAAAUCGAUCAUAAAUCUUGUGGAAGUACGGAACCAGUCAAAGUGCGUGAUACUUACAUGGUUCUUCGAAUGCCUGCUGCUCCUACUAUUCUCCCAAGGCAACAAGGGUAGGUUAGGCAUACGUACCCAAAGGGUUUACGCCACUGAUGGCGCGAGAUUGGAUUAGUGCUGCAGCCUCUCCGUCUGCCACCCUAAUCACCGGCACGGAGCCAGCGAUGCAGCAAGGGGCAGAGUGGAGAGAUUUUUGGGAGAUUUGCUCAUGCCCUCAUGGGAUGGUACCAGGUACCAGCUGCUAUUGCGCCGUAAGAGAUGGUUGGGGAUGGUGCUGUAACUGCCGUUCACUGCCGCGCGUCUCGACGGCAAGACGAGAACGGCAGCAGCUCGGCAACUCGUUCGUCAGGCGUUGCGGCCUAGAGUGGAUCUCCAUGGACCGAGCCCAUCUAGUGGUGAGGGUCCAUCAUGAAAAGUUGGACCGUGCCAGGUCCACGUAGGCACGCCGUUGCCUCCGAUGACCCAAUACAAUUUGUCAGCGUCUCCAAAAAAAAUACAAUUUAUGUACUCUAAAGAAAGAAUACAAUUUAUCAGAGAAAUUCCACGCAUAUGAUCUGUGGUCUAUGCACAUCCCGACAAACAUCAGUAUUUGGGAAGGUGAUACAGGGGUUUUGUUUUCAGGAAGCUGGAUGCAUAGCCUGGACGUUUUAGGUUGUGUGGUGAAUACAGUGCUAGUCGUCUCCUCUGAUGCUCUCUUGGAAUCGCCGAAUGGCCGACGAUGUUUGUACCGGUCUGGAGUCCUUUCAAUAUCUAACUGUUGCCAGCGGUAUGUAGUUAACUUUCAGGGUUAGUGUUUGGCAUAAAUGAGUGAAGCUUGCUUGGCCGACAAGAGCGUGUAUUACCCGGAGCUGAUCUGGCUCAGGGCGCGCAUCCAGUCACGUCAGUGUCUCAUGACAGUCGUCGCUUUGCCCCAUCCCAUACAGGCACAUCGGACAUUUCCGUGCGCGGAUGACGAUGGUCCCAAUGUGUCCCCUCAAAGCUUUCUGCCACUACAGUCUACACAAGGCUCGCGGACUCACUAGCUUCACCUUAGUAUGGCGCUUGUGCCUAUCUAUCUUGGUCCCAGAACUGAUUCACCACUCUGUUCGUUCUACUACUGCCAUCAUCGAAACCUUCCCAUACGCUCCUCCUCCGUCUUCCUUGCUGCUCUUCCUCGUCUCAUCCUUGCUACAUGGAGCUAGAGACCAUGUAGUACGGACUACGGACCUGGCAACCCAAACCACCAAUUAGCUUAUUUAUUAUCCGCGCCGAUGAUUUGAUAAGGGCGUAAGCCGGUGGUCGUCCCCAACCGUGGCAGGAGUGUUCACCGCCGUUGGAAAUGCAAAAGUCAAUGAGAUGUUAAAAUUUAGGGCGUGCUUGGGAUUGCUCUGCUCCAGUUUUUUCCAGCUCCGCUGCUAAACCAUUUGCCAAACACCUCCAGCUCCAACAAUCCAAUCUCCAGCUCCAACAAUCCAAACUCCAGAAAAAAUGUGGAUCUAGAAGGCAACUCUAAGGUUUUUUCGGAGCACCUCAAAGGGUGCUCCAAAAACGCAGGUUUCAUACAUUAUCUUGGAGUUGGGUGGAAAUUACCCACCAAUGCUACUGGUUACACAUUCCUCUUCGGCAAAAAAAAAGACCGCUACUGUUUCGCCCCCUCCCCUCCCUCCCAACACAUCUUUUUUUGUGCCGCCCCCUUCCCUCCGCCUUGCAAGUUUCUCUGUGCGCCGUCACCGCCUUUUCCCCUCCCUCCGAUGGCAAAAAAACCGGCGAGAUGGACGCCGGUGAUGAUCCACAACACCUCAAUGAUGAAAUUCCAUUGAUUACUCCUUCAUCUGGAUCGAUUUUGACCCAAGCACAUGCCGCCCAAAGAGUCCUCGCCGCCCG